ensembl:lncRNA
CGGAGCCAAGUGCUGAUGACCAGGGUGUGAGAGACAGGUGGACAUCUCCCAGAUCGGCUCCCCGCAGAAGACAGACUCUCAGCUGCCAGGUUUAUCUCAGCUGGCCCCUCCUCUGUGACAUCGGGCCAGAGGCCCCUGCCCCCUCAUCCCCAUUCCCGCCUGGGGCCUCCGUGUCUCCAGCGGAACCUCAAAGGGCUGAGCUGAGCGGCCUCUCUGGUAUCUUCCAGCCUUGACCCAGCAUGGCGGAGACACCCCAGCUCACACCCUCCAAUGUGGGGAACCACCUCGAGCACUCCAGGGCUUGAGCAGCCUCAGGAAGGAAAGAAAAUGCUCUUUAAGUUGUCAUAACAGAGCGGGCCUCCAGGCACCUCCUGUUUACCGAGGCUGAGUAAAUACAGCCCGGCCCUUAGCAACAGGCACAAAGGGGCCCUUGUGCCGCCUGCUCGCCCUCCCUCUGCUCUCUCCCUGAGCUCAGCCCCAGCUGGGAGCACUGUGGGAGGCAGGGUGGCCUGGCCUGGAGCCGCCUGGCGGGUGACAGGGGUGGGUGCAAGACCUGCCGUGUGGGGACCCUGGGGCGUGUCAGGGACCCAGGUCUGCACGGGCCCCUGUCUUCUGCAGGCCGGAAGUUCUGCCCCAUCUUGAUACGGCUUGUCACUCAGAGAUGGAACAGGGAGGCGAGUGGAAUCAGAUGGAUCCUGGAUGGAAUACAGGUCAUGCUCAUUGGCAAGUCACUUGAUCACUCUGUUUCAGUUUUCCCGUCUACAAAAUGGGGCUAAUCACUGCAUCUACCUUUUGUAUUGUUUUUAAUUACGUUAACAUACUUCAGCAAGGGCAGUGCAACAUAUAUUAAUUUUGAUGUGCACCUAGAGAUGACUACUUAACUCUUAAAGAAGUCUAAGCAGGAAUAUACACUCCAGGGCUGGUUGGUCAGCAUCUGAAAGACGAAUCAGAAGCCCCUGGUCUAAGAGGCAGCUAUGACCUGCUCAGCUACUAUAUCUUCCAUCAGGUCCAGAGGGUUUGGGGAGGGUGUUAAUUAGUACAAUGGAUAUGAAAAACGCUCUUUUUUUGGGGGGGGGGGUGAAAUUACUGGUGUUAAAGUGUUAGUGUGGAUUGGCUGGCAAGACUGUACAGGCACCUCUGAUGUGCCCAGCACUCCAGGAGUAGCCCAGGACCAAAGACCCAAUCUAGUUCUGUGUCCAGAUUCCUUUGAAGGUUUUGAUGUCUGAUCUGACCAGAGGGAAGCUGAAUUCUGAAUCUUGCCAUCAGAAUCCUGUCGUACCUGUCCUUUCCUGGGAGUGCUUCUCGGCACCCGGGAUGCUGAGAGCUGGGACCCACCCACCCCCACCCCAUCCCAGACCGUGCACCUGCUUUGGCACCUGCUUGCUGAUAGCAUGAUCUGCCUGGGUUUUGCAUUCACGGGGCUCAGCUGGCAAGGUGGACUUGUGGGUCAGGAACCUGCAGCCCUCCCUGCCAACGAUUGGCCUCCACACAGACCUGCCAGCGAUUCAAACUGACCAGCGUGGCUCCGGUCAACUUACAGACCGCCUCAUAGAAUCGCGAGGGUUGAAGGAGGUAAUCCACAGCAUCACCCAAACCUGGGGCAGUUUGCUUCACCUUCUCAAGAAGCCUUCAUUCCUCAUCUGUUCCAGUACCUGUCAUAACAGUAUCCACCUCACAGGGUUGCCGUGAGUGUCGGAGUUCAUUCAAGUACAAUGCUUCGAUCGGUGCCUGGUGCAUAGUAAAGGCUCAGUAAAUGUGAGCUGGCCUCCAUCAUUCCACUUCGUGUGAUAUGACCAUGAGAGACCAUGGCUGACAAUAAUGGACAGGUGGAAUGAUUCACAGUGCACCCGUGUGAUGGAAGCAUCUGCUAUCCUUAAAUCGUCUACUGAGUUCAAUGACAGGGGAAUAUUACGUGAAAAGGUGUGUAAGUAUUAGAUGUAAUUUCCAUUUCAUCAAAAAAAUACCCUCAUGGGAAAAUACUGGAAGGCAACAGGGCAAAAUGCUGAGAAGACAAACACUAGAUGGUGACAUUUGACCUUAGUCUUUGUAUUUCUGAGACUGGUCACAGUGGGGGUGGUUGUCAGAAUAAUGGCCCUCCCAAAAUGCCCACAUCCUAAUCUUUGGAGCCAGUGAAUAUGUUGCCUUAUAUGGCGAAAGGGACUUUGCAGAUGUGAUUAAAUCAAGGAUCUUGAUUUGGAGAGGUUAUCUUGGAUGAUCCAGGUGGGUCCAAAGCAAUUACAGGUCCUUGCACGUGAAUGAAGGAGGCAGGAGGCAGGGUUGGAGAAGGAGAUGGGACAAAGAAGAUCACGGGUCACAGUGAUUCACUGCUGGCUUUGAAGACGGAAGGAGACCACAAACCAUAGAACAUAGAAACCACAAACCAUAGAAACUGGAAAAGACAAGGAGCAGAUUCUCCGCCAGAGCCAUCAGAAGGAACGCAGCCUUGGGGCGCCUGGGUGGCUCAGUCGGUUAAGCGUCCGACUUCGGCUCAGGUCACGAUCUCGAGGUCCGUGGGUUCAAGCCCCGCAUCGGGCUCUGUGCUGACAACUCAGAGCCUGGAGCCUGUUUCAGAUUCUGUGUCUCCCUCUUUCUCUGACCCUCCCCUGUUCGUGCUCUGUCUCAAAAAUGUUAAAAAAAAAAAGAAGAAGGAACGCAGCCUUACUGACACCUGGAUUUCUGUCCUAUGAGACCUAUUUCAGACUUCUGAUUUCUAGAACUCUAAGCUAAUAAACACGUUGUUUUAAGCCA